rnacentral:rRNA from 1 species
UACAGAGGGUGCGAGCGUUGUUCGGAAUUACUGGGCGUAAAGCGCGCGCAGGCGGCUUUCUAAGUCCGUCGGUGAAAGACCGGGGCUCAACCCCGUGUCAGCCAUGGAUACUGGGAGGCUGGAGACAGGUAGAGGCAAGCGGAAUUCCGGGUGUAGCGGUGGAAUGCGUAGAUAUCUGGAGGAACACCGGUGGCGAAGGCGACAUCCUGGACCGGUAUUGACGCUGAGGCGCGAAAGCCAGGGGAGCAAAGCGGG